rnacentral:rRNA from 1 species
UACAGAGGGUGCUAGCGUUGUUCGGAAUCAUUGGGCGUAAAGGGCGUGUAGGCGGUUUGUUAAGUCAUGUGUGAAAUCCCUCGGCUUAACCGGGGAACUGCGUCUGAUACUGGUUGGCUUGAAUCCGGGAGAGGGAUGUGGAAUUCCAGGUGUAGCGGUGAAAUGCGUAGAUAUCUGGAGGAACACCGGUGGCGAAGGCGGCAUCCUGGACCGGUAUUGACGCUGAGGAGCGAAAGCCAGGGGAGCAAACGGG